GAAGAUGAUUCUACUACUUUGCUAAAUUAGUUAAUCCAGUACUGACCUGCUGGCAUCCUC
rnacentral:tRNA from 1 species